CAGGAAGAGACCUUCAGAGGAGGGAGAGGAGGAGAGAAGAGGGCAUUUGGACCAAGAUCAAAUUCAAAUGCUUCUCUGUGGAUGGGAAACCCAGUGGAAGGCAGUGAUUUACCCCAGAGGAGCACUUGGGCAUCAAGUUUUGUCCACUGUGCUGCUGUGAGGUGAUCAGAAAGGGAAUUAGGAAACCCAGAUGAGAGCUGAGGAAAGCCAAACCUACACAGGCAAAGGGAUUCAUCCUCAGGGGACCGGGACUCCUGGGCAAGAGAUGGAAACAGUUGAGAGGCCCCUGCUCCACCUCUGCCACAGACCCGCAGUGCCACCUCAGGCCUUCGAAGUUGUGUCUCUGUGCUGGAAGAAAUAAAACAAUCCCUCCAGGGUGGCGGUAAGAAGGUUCUGCAGAGAGGAUCCCUGGGUGGCGCAGCGGUUUGGCGCCUGCCUUUGGCCCAGGGCGCGAUCCCGGAGACCUGGGAUCGA